rnacentral:rRNA from 1 species
GUGAGGAAUAUUGGUCAAUGGACGAGAGUCUGAACCAGCCAAGUAGCGUGAAGGAUGACUGCCCUAUGGGUUGUAAACUUCUUUUAUAAGGGAAUAAAGUGAGGGACGUGUCCCUUUUUGUAUGUACCUUAUGAAUAAGGAUCGGCUAACUCCGUGCCAGCAGCCGCGGUAAUACGGAGGAUCCGAGCGUUAUCCGGAUUUAUUGGGUUUAAAGGGAGCGUAGGUUGACAUAUAAGUCAGCUGUGAAAGUUUACGGCUCAACCGUGAAAUUGCAGUUGAUACUGUAUGUCUUGAGUGUACAAGAGGUGGGCGGAAUUCGUGGUGUAGCGGUGAAAUGCUUAGAUAUCACGAAGAACUCCAAUUGCGAAGGCAGCUCACUGGGGUACAACUGACACUGAGGCUCGAAAGUGUGGGUAUCAAACAGGAUUAGAAACCCGUGUAGUCC